GAAUCGCGAUAGGUAAUGUGAAUUGCAGAAUUCAGUGAAUCAUCGAAUCUUUGAACGCACCUUGCGCUUGGUGGCAUUCCGCCAAGCAUGCCUGUUUGAGUGUCAUGAACACCUCAAACCCCAAUGUUUUGAAAGAAGCAUUGCUUGGGUUUGGUUCUUGGGCUGUUACUUUGCUGCUUAAAUGUCAGCUAGCCUUAAAGAUAUUAGCUGGACUCGAGCUUUCGAGUGCCUUCAACGCUUGAUGUGAUAAAUGUUACGUCGUGCUUGAAAGCCUUGGAUAGCGAUUUUGUUAGAGUCUGCUUCUAAUACGGCGAGAAGUCCUAGCACUUCGACCCAUUAUUUUAAUAUCUGGCCUCAAAUCAGGUAGGAUUACCCGCUGAACUUAA
rnacentral:misc_RNA from 1 species